CGAGUGCUGCAAAAGCGUGAAGAGGUAACGCAUCAGACCUCUAAUCGGAAAAGACUACCCGCCGAGUUU
rnacentral:rRNA from 1 species